UAAUAAUUCAAAAUGCUGUCUCCAUUAUAUCGAAAAAGCAUUAUUGCAAAACUAGCUCAAAUACCAAAUCUUAUCAUUUCAAAUUAUUUUCAUAAGUGCCAAAACCUUUAUACCACGUUUUAGCCAUUUUUGGCCUUUUCAACAGUUUAAAUUUGAAAAUUUAAACUUUUAUGUUAAGCCUGAUUUGAUAACUGUAAUACAUCUUGUAAUUGGACUUGUUGCUGCUCUUCUUGGCCUUCUUGUCAGCUUUCUUCUUGUGGUUGCUGUCAAGAUCAAGAAUAGGUAUCUUCUUCUUCCAUGGCUUUUUCUCCAUAUUUUUGUGAUCAUGUCAAGUAUUGCAAUAGGAAUAUACAUUGUUGUUCGAUACUGUAUUCUGACGCAACCCCCAGAGUACAUUAAAUCUAUUU